CUGGGGACUGAAGGCGGUCUUGGCUUCAGGGCCCAGGAGGAACUGCUGCUGCUCUUCACCAUGGCUUCUCUGCACCCGGCUUUCUGGUUCCACCAGCGGGUCACCCUGAGGGAGCACCUGGAGAGGCUCCGCAGCGCGCUCCGCGUGGAGCCCGAGGACCCGGAGGUGGAGCCGUGCAACUUUGCGGGCUUCAGGGCCCAGAACGACUCUGCUUGUGGUGAUUAUAUACAGAGUAAUGAGACUGGCUUAGUAGAACAAGCCCAAAUACCUCAAGACGGACUCACUGUGGCCCCUCACAGAGCUCAGCGAGAAGCUGUACACAUUGAGAAGAUAAUGUUGAAAGGAGUGCAGAGAAAAAGGGCUGACAAGUAUUGGGAGUACACUUUCAAAGUAAAUUGGUCUGACCUUUCAGUCACAACAGUAACAAAAACCCACCAAGAGCUACAGGAAUUUCUACUGAAGCUUCCAAAGGAAUUGUCUUCUGAGACCUUUGACAAGGCCAUCUUAAGAGCCCUGAAUCAGGGUUCUCUAAAAAGGGAAGAGCGGCGGCACCCUGACCUGGAGCCUAUCCUCAGGCAGCUAUUUUCAACUUCAUCCCAAGCUUUUCUUCAGAGUCAGAAAGUACGCAGCUUCUUCCAGUCACUGUCCUCGGAGUCUCAGCACAGUGUCAAUAACUUACAGUCCUCUCUGAAGACUUCUAAGAUAUUAGAACACUUAAAAGAAGACAGCUCAGAAGCUUCAAGUCAAGAAGAAGAUGUGUUACAGCACACCAUAAUCCACAAGAAACAUGGUGGGAAGAGUCCGGCUGUGAACAGUGUUGGUACAAGCUGUUCUCCAUUGGAUGGGCUUACCAUGCAGUAUGCAGAACAGAAUGGAAUUGUGGAUUGGAGGAACCAAGGCUGUGCCAUCAUCCAGCACCCAGAGCACUGUGUGACCUCAGCUGACCAACACUCUGCUGAAAAACGGAGCUUAUCUUCAGUAAAUAAGAAGAAAGGGAAGCCACAAAUAGAAAAGGAGAAAAUUAAGAAAACCGAGAACAGAUUGAACAGUAGAAUAAAUGGUGUUAGACUCUCUGCUCCUCAGCAUGCUCAUGGCAGUACUGUGAAAGACAGUUCCACUAACUGGGGAUCUACCAUUGAAACAUAUAAACCUAUUGGGAGCCCAUUCUCAUUCAGACCACCAGGUGGGAGAAAGAUGACCUGGAAAAACCCAUCUUUCCUAUCUAAGGCUGUGGUCCAGGAGCAUAUGAUGUCUGAUGUUCUAGAUGAUAUGAAUUUGGACAUUGGAUCUGGACAUGACACAUGUGGAGAAACAUCUUCAGAGAGUUACAGUUCUCCGUCUAGUCCACGACAUGAUGGAAGAGAAAGUUUGGAAAGUGAAGAAGAAAAGGACAGAGACACGGACAGCAAUUCUGAAGAUUCUGGGAAUCCGUCAACAGCCAGGUUUACAGAUUAUGGCUCUGUCAACCAGACUGUCACUGUCAAGCCACCUGUUCAGAUUGUCUCACUGGGGAAUGAGAAUGGAAGCCUUUUAGAAGCUCCAUUGACCUCACACAAGUAUCCACAUAUUCCCUUUAUGCCAACUCUACACUGUGUCAUGCACAAUGGUGCCCAGAAGUCAGAAGUUGUCAUUCCUUCACCCAAAUCUGCAGAUGGCAAAACAAUAGGGAUGCUUGUUCCUAAUCCUAUGGCUAUCUCUACAGUGAUGGAGUCUACAAAUUCAAGCCCUGUUGGAAUCCUAGGCCCCACAGCUUCUGGAGAAUCAGAGAAACACCUGGAAUUGUUGGCUUCCCCUUUACCUAUCCCAUCAUCCUUCCUUCCACACGGUGGUUCUCCUGCUUUGCAGCUAACAUUGCAGAGGCUGAAAUUGCCACCACCACAGGGAUCUUCUGAGAGUUGUACAGUUAAUAUUCCACAACAGCCAACUGGAAGUCUGAGCAUUGGAUCACCAAACACUGCCUUUAUUCCUGUCCAUAACCCAGGUAGUUUCCCGGGAUCUCCUGUGGCUACCACGGACCCCAUCACAAAGUCUGCAUCCCAAGUGGUAGGACUAAAUCAAAUGGUGCCUCAGAUUGAGGGAAACACAGGAACAGUCCCUCAGCCUACCAAUGUGAAGGUAGUUCUUCCGGCAGCUGGCCUCUCAGCUGCACAGCCACCAGCUUCCUACACCUUUCCAGGCUCACCCCUUGCUGCUAGUGUGCUACCCACCCAGAAUUCCACCUCUGCCCAGCCAACAAGUGCAGGCAUCAGUCAAGCCCAGUCUACAGUUCCUCCUGCUGUUCCUACCCACACCCCAGGUCCUGCCCCAAGCCCCAGCCCUGCCUUGACACACAGUACUGCUCAGAGUGAUAGCACAUCUUACAUCAAUGCUGUGGGGAACACGAACGCUAAUGGGACCAUAGUGCCACCACAGCAGAUGGGCUCAGGUCCUUGUGGUUCUUGUGGGCGAAGGUGCAGCUGUGGGACCAAUGGAAACCUUCAGCUAAAUAGUUACUAUUAUCCCAAUCCAAUGCCUGGACCAAUGUACCGAGUCCCAUCGUUCUUCACUCUGCCAUCCAUUUGCAAUGGCAGCUACCUCAACCAAGCACACCAGAGCAAUGGAAGCCAACUUCCUUUUUUUCUGCCUCAGACUCCAUAUGCAAAUGGACUGGUGCAUGACCCAGUCAUGGGGAGCCAAGCCAACUAUGGCAUGCAACAGAUGGCAGGAUUUGGGAGAUUGUAUCCUGUAUAUCCAGCACCUAAUGUAGUUGCCAAUACCAGUGGUUCUGGGCCCAAGAAGAAUGGGAAUGUCUCAUGUUACAAUUGUGGUGUAAGCGGACACUAUGCACAAGACUGUAAACAGUCAUCCAUGGAGGCCAAUCAACAAGGCACUUACAGACUGAGAUACGCACCUCCCCUCCCCCCUUCUAAUGAUACGUUGGAUUCUGCAGACUGAACGAGCAAAGCUUGCCUACUUAAUGCACUCAAGUGCGGGGAGUCAUGGGGUGUGGAGGGGAGGAAAGGAAAGGUAUUUUGUUUCUUUGUCUGUACAUUUCCUAAAUUUCUAUGCAGUUGGGAGUUUUCAUUCUCUGUACCAAUGUCCAAAAUAACACAGAAUGCGAUGCUCCUGAGCCUCUGGUCCCCUGGCUCAACAGCAGGCUUGUAUGAUAUAUGUAACUUAAAUUUCAGACAAACUCAUGAACAACGUUGACGUGUGCUUUUUUACACUGAAUACUUGCUGUGUACAAUGUUUACUGAAUCUUUAAACUGUGUAUUGAUCUUAUUUGUUUUCACGACACUGGGAAUAGUCGUAUGGUUUGGGGAAAAGCUGUGCUGCUUGAGGCUUUCUCAUUUUAACCCUAAACUACACUUCUCUGAUCGCCACCCUCUCCCUGGCCUGUGUGGGGGGUGCUCAGCACUGUCCUUGUGGCUCUUCUGUGACCUGCUCUGUGUGACCCAAGGGCAACAUGUCUCACCAUACAUUUUAGAAGUCAGCUUCCCAAGAAGUAUGUAUAUAUGUCAUAAACAACAUCACGUAAAUACAUAUAUGCGGCACUUGUCCAAAUAACAUGAAAACAAGUGGGAGAGAGGAGGUCAGACUUCGGGAAGUCGAAAAUUUGAAAUGGACAAACUGGCUUUUCUUGAGAGAACAACUUUUCCUUCCAUCAUACUUUUGUAGCCUGUUGCUUCAGAGAGACACAAAGUGAACACUAGUGUGAGUGUUGUUCUCUGUAUGCUUGUGUCUGUGAUGACUGUCAGCAGCCAGUUCUACUUGUCUACCACCUUGACCUGAUUAGGCCCUACCUGAGUGAAGACGUCAUCUUCUGCUGCACCAGCUGUUACAGUGUUCCAUUGUGUUUACAUGUGUGUGGUCUGUCACAUCUGAACAGAGGCUGUGGGUUUCUACAGAAGGCAGGGGUCUGCUCUCUAACCUGUGUCUCAUAGCAAAGUCACUUUUAUAACCGUUUACCACUAUGCUUGAUUAUAAUGUGAAAGACUGAAUUCCAAGUGUGUUGAGACGGUUUUAAUCAUGUCAUUGUCAUGGCACUAAGUUUAAUGCUGCUGGGUUGUUUUGGUUUUUUGUUUUGUUUUUCUGUUUUUUAACUUUUUAAAAAAAAGCCAAUCUAUGUACUAAAUUGCUUCCAGGUAAUUUUUUGAUUUCCUGAAGUGCACUGAGGUUAUCUGGGCGAUUGGAUGUAUCAUCAGUGACUGCCGCACUCACAGCAGUGAACGAAUACCACCACAUAGUUGUAAGCUGUAAGCGUAAGGGGUAAAGGGAGGGGGGGUUCCAUUCCUUAGUAAAGAGUAGAAAUGAUUGGCUUGGGUUGUGGGCAAUACAGUUGGGGUGUGGCAGAGGCACUGAAAUGUUAGCCUGACAUUGUGAGACAAAGAAGAAAAAAAAAACUUGAAGAAAAAAGCUAGUUCAACACUUCAAAAGUAGCGUUUAUAUUUCUAGCACCGAUGUACAUUCUGAGACUUUCAGGGGUGGGCACUAUGGGGAGAGACGGGGGAGUGUGACCGGGUAGACAAAGCUUUAAUUUAGAAAGAAAAAAGUUCAAGUAAAGGAAAUUAUUUUGAUUAAAUAUAUUUUAUUUGAUCUGGGUAUUUUUGGACCACAUUAUUAAAUUGUUAAGCUGCGGUUGAGUUGUUCAGGGGAGAGUACCUAAGCCUUGUACAGGCCUGUUGUGACUCACUUGCCAGGUGUACUUUAUGGAGUUUAUUUUAUGAUUUCAAAUACUGUACUGUACAUAGGAGGUGUGUUACCUUCUCCUUAUUUGUAUGUUUACCAUAUACUUUGAUAUUUGAAAUGUUAUGUACUGGAAAGGCCACUUAUAUUUCUAGGACAGAUUGGAUUUUAUGCAACCUUUUUCCUUGAAUUAACAGCAAUAAAAAAAAUGAAAACAGCUUAAGAAUUGUGCCUUAUUGCAAGUUUUAUAAAAUUGAAAGUGGAUUUUCAUGGUAAUUUUUCUGGUAAAGAAUCAGUUCAUUUCCCUCCACACAGGAUUCACUGCCUGGAUGUUCUUUAGUCUUUCCCUAGUGUAGGUCAUCAGUGCAGCCUCUGAAGGAAGGGAAGACGUAUGGUAUGCCAAGGCCUUCUUCACAAACAAGGGAAGCCCGUCUCCCCAUUAACUAGGCUUCUGGUUUAGGAGCCCCCUUACUCACGGCACCCAAGUUUUCCAUUUUGCUGAUUUCUAUUUCUUUUUUCUCUUUGGCUGUGGGAGGCACACAACUAUCAUGGUUUGUUUUUCUAUAAUCCAGUUUAAGUCAAAAUCUUAAAACCAUCAGACAGUUCUAAAACAUUGGAGGCCAGUGUGCUUCUUGUGCUGUCAAUGUCUUUCUGAAGUACUUCUACCCCAGGUAUUCAGCAUAGGCAGGACACUGAAGGGUAGGGCCAAGGCUGUUAGAUUAUUGCCUGACCACUAUACAUGGGUGUUUGGUUGUUCAUAGAGCACUCUAUUAGUUCCUUUCCUACUGUCAUGAUAAAGCACCAUGGCCAAGGUAACCUAUAGAAGACAACUGUGUUUGAACUUAGGGUUCCAGUGAGUUAAAAUCUAUCAUGAUGGAAGUUUGAGCAGGAUGCUGAGGGUUCUUGUCUUGAACUGCCAACACAAAGCAGAGAGGGCAAGCUGAGAGUGACAGGAGGCCACUCUCAUAGCCUGCCUCCAGUGACACACUUCUCCACCAAGGCACACUUCCUAAACCUCCUCAAGCUGCCACCAUUACUGAUCUGGGGACUAAGUAUUCAGUGCCUGACACUGGGGGGACAUCAUUCAAGCCGUAGCAGGCACCAGCUUCCCCAUUCCCCUGUUGACCUCACAGGAGGAAUGAACUUCACAUUAACCAGCGUCUCUCCACCCUUCACCCCACCAGUCAAUAGUCUGUUUGGCCACCUGUUGACCGCUAUGAAAGCUGUGCUCUUUUUGACCUUGCGAAAGGGAGUCUUCUCUCUCAGCCUGCUGGGGCUAGGUCUGCUCAUCUGCUUUGUGACCCAUGCUGCAUUUGUGACACUCACUUUAACACCUUGAAAUACUAUCAUGAGGAUGAGUGGGUCCAUUGUCCUGUCAGUGAACAUUAGGUGGCCCGCUUCUCUCUUUCUUACCAACUUAGAAUCAGGGAUUCCAGGAAGGCGUUUUGUGCUGUCCUGGUUUGUGCAUAAGCUUGUUCAGGCAUCUAACUAGGUGUGCAGUCCGACUGGCUUUCCAAGACUCACAGUAUCUCCUUCCAAGUGACACACACACUCCUCUCAUGCACUAAGGGACCCUGAGAUGCUAUCCUGACAGUCCCCCAAGGUGCUGUCCUAGAAGAACAGGACGAGACUCCAGAGGGGUUUUGUAGGCCAGUGGGAGAGGUUCCAGCUUUUAAAAGGCUUCAAGUUUUAAUAGCAUCUGUUACUCAAGAACUGCAUCCACUAAGCCUUGGGAGGCAUCUUUGUCCAGUUCUGUGUGCCGAUGGAAGCAUUCUAACAGUGAGGCAAUGAAGCCACAUAGAGCAAGCUUCAGCAUAAUCCAACCCAGAACCCUUCGGUGACUUCUCAAGAGAAUGCAUGCAAAUGCAUGUACACACACAGCACACACAUUCACUUUCAGAACAGAUUGUGACACUGGAGGUGCGAUCAAAUGAACACUCCGACUUGCAUCUCUGAUCUUCCUCAUGGGGCAAGGAUGGCUACAAUGAGAACGGCUCUGGGGGCCCAGAGAGGAGCAGCAUGUGUGACUGGGGACCCUGAGUGAUCAGCUGCACUAUUGACUUUCACUAUGAAUUUGAACAGAGACAGGCUGUGCGAGGCAGCCCAUCCUUUCUGGGCUACUCCCAUUACUGGCUUACAUUGCUUGGAUUGGAUCCCCAAAGUCAUUUUUACCACGAAUACUUUUUCUUGUUAUUGUGUAUAAAUCACAGCUACUGUGCCUA